rnacentral:rRNA from 1 species
GUAGGGAAUAUUGGGCAAUGGAUGCAAGUCUGACCCAGCCAUCCCGCGUGCCGGAAGAAGGCCCUCAGGGUUGUAAACGGCUUUUGACGGUGAAGAAUCGACAGGAUGCGUCCUGUUUUGACGGUAGCCGUUGAAUAAGCACCGGCUAACUCCGUGCCAGCAGCCGCGGUAAUACGGAGGGUGCGAGCGUUGUCCGGAUUUAUUGGGUUUAAAGGGUGCGUAGGCUGGAAGGUCAGUCAGCGGUGAAAAGCUGUCGCUUAACGAUAGUCUUGCCGCAGAUACUUCCUUUCGUGGAUGAGGAGGAGGCCACUGGAACGGAUGGUGUAGCGGUGAAAUGCAUAGAUAUCAUCCAGAACACCGAUUGCGAAGGCAGGUGGCUGUACCUUAAUCGACGCUGAUGCACGAAAGCAUGGGGAGCAAACAGGAUUAGAUACCCCAGUAGUCC